AGUACGUGAAACCGUUCGGAGGUAAACGAGUGGGCCCUCGAAGUGUGAAGGCGGGGGGACUCAGCCGAACGCCGUCGAGCCCGCGGGCGGGUCCGCGCUUCCCUCCCGGGACGCGGUCCGCCCGUGUGCUGGCUCCGGUUUGCGGCGCAUUUCCUCCCGUCCUCCGACGCCGCGACCGGUCGGGCGCGCCACGAGCAGUCGGCCUUACUCGCGGGAAACGGAAGGUAGCCGGGUCGGCGCUCACGCGCCGAUCCCCGGUGUUCUAGCCGUCCCGCAAUCGAGUCAGCCGUUCGCCCGACCGCAGGAACCACGGGCCCUCAGGGGCCCCGCCGUGCCCUCCCCCGUUCUCGGGGGAUCGCUUCCCGCCUCGGAAGGGAUGCCGCUCGUCCCCGCGCCGCACCUCCGGUGCGCGUGGGGCGGCGGCGCCCGCUGGCCGGGGCGGUCGCGAUUCGGGCGCUGGCGGUCCGCGGCGAGUAGGUCGGUCACCCACUCGACCCGUCUUGAAACACGGACCAAGGAGUUUAACAUGCACGCGAGUCACUGGGUCGUGAGCAGGCCCAAGGGCGCAAUGAAAGUGAAGGGCGGCCCCUGCCGUCCGCGUUGGGAUCCUCCGGCCUCCGCGCCGGGGGCGCACCAACGGCUCGUCCGGGCCGCCACGUCGGCCGGGCGAAGCUAGAGCGUGCACGUUGAGACCCGAAAGAUGGUGAACUAUGGCUGGGCAGGACGAAGCCAGAGGAAACUCUGGUGGAGGUCCGCAGCGGUUCUGACGUGCAAAUCGAUCGUCAGACCUGGCAUA
rnacentral:rRNA from 1 species